GGUAGCGUAGCUAACGCGAGAAGUUGACCGCCUGGGGAGUACGGCCGCAAGGUUAAAACUCAAAGGAAUUGACGGGGACCCGCACAAGCGUGGAUGAUGUGGAUUAAUUCGAUGCAACGCGAAAAACCUUACCUGCUCUUGACAUGUACCGAAAGCCGAAGAGAUUUGGCUGUGCCCGAAAGGGAGCGGUAACACAGGUGCUGCAUGGCUGUCGUCAGCUCGUGUCGUGAGAUGUUGGGUUAAGUCCCGCAACGAGCGCAACCCUUGUCAUUAGUUGCCAUCAUUCAGUUGGGCACUCUAAUGAGACUGCCGGUGACAAACCGGAGGAAGGUGGGGAUGACGUCAAGUCCUCAUGGCCCUUAUGAGCAGGGCUUCACACGUCAUACAAUGGUCGGUACAGAGGGUCGCGAAGCCGCGAGGUGAGCCAAUCUCAAAAAACCGAUCGUGUCCGGAUCGCACUCUGCAACUCGAGUGCGUGAAGUCGGAAUCGCUUAA
rnacentral:rRNA from 1 species